AUUGAACGCUGGCGGCAGGCCUAACACAUGCAAGUCGAGCGGAGCGGCGGACGGGUGAGUAAUGCCUAGGUAUCUGCCCGGUAGUGGGGGAUAACGUCAGGAAACGGGCGCUAAUCCCACAUACUAUCAGAUGAGCCUAGGGCGGCUUAGCUAGUUGGUGGGGUAAGGGCCUACCAGGGCGACGAACCGUAGCUGGUCUGAGAGGAUGAUCCGUCACACUGGAACUGAGACACGGCCCAGACUCCUACGGGAGGCAGCAGUGGGGAAUAUUGCGCAAUGGGCGCAAGCCUGAUGCAGCCAUGCCGCGUGUGUGAAGAAGGCCUUCGGGUUGUAAAGCACUUUCAGCGGGGAGGCGUUACCCGCAGAAGAAGCACCGGCUAACUCCGUGCCAGCAGCCGCGGUAAUAC
rnacentral:rRNA from 1 species